GACGAACGCUGGCGGCGUGCCUAAUACAUGCAAGUAGAACGCUGAAGGAGGAGCUUGCUUCCUUGGAUGAGUUGCGAACGGGUGAGUAACGCGUAGGUAACCUGCCUGUUAGCGGGGGAUAACUAUUGGAAACGAUAGCUAAUACCGCAUAAUAGUAGUUGUUGCAUGACAUUUGCUUAAAAGGUGCAAUUGCAUCACUACCAGAUGGACCUGCGUUGUAUUAGCUAGUUGGUGAGGUAACGGCUCACCAAGGCGACGAUACAUAGCCGACCUGAGAGGGUGAUCGGCCACACUGGGACCGAGACACGGCCCAGACUCCUACGGGAGGCAGCAGUAGGGAAUCCUCGGCAAUAGACGGAAGUCUGGACGAGCAACGCCACGUGAAUGAAGAAUGUUUUCCGAUCGUAAAGCUCUUUUGUGAAAGAAGAACGAGUGUGAGAGUGGAAAGUGCACACUGUGACGGUAUCUUACCAGAAAGGCACGGCUAACUACGUG
rnacentral:rRNA from 1 species